GAACUCAGAUCAAGUAAGAAUUUAAAGGUCGAACAGACCUAAUCAUUGGGCUCCUGCACCCAAAAUUUUUCUUAAUCCAACAUCGAGGUCGCAAUCUGCUUUGUCGAUAUGAGCUCUCAAAAACAAUUACGCUGUUAUCCCUAAGGUAACUUAAUCUUAUGAUCAUAAAUUAUGGAUCAAAAUAACAAACAUAAAUAAAUGAUAUAAUAAUGAAGAGUUUAUCUAUUCUUCAUGUCACCCCAACAAAACAUCAUCAUUAAAUAUAGAAAGACAAACAAAAAACUAUAUAAAAGUAAAAUGGUCAAGCUCUAUAGGGUCUUCUCGUCCUAAAGAAGAAUUUAAGCCUUUUGACUCAAAAGUUAAAUUCAAAAAUUUAUUAAGAAACAGUUGAUUUCUCGUCAAGCCAUUCAUUCCCGCCAGUAAUUAAGAGACUAAUGAUUAUGCUACCUUUGCACGGUCAAAAUACCGCGGCUCUCUAAAAAAACGCUCAGUGAGCAGGCCAGACCUCAAAGUAUAAACAAGAGGACAUGUUUUUGAUAAACAGGCGGAAA